UACGUAGGGACCUAGCGUUGUCCGGAAUCAUUGGGCGUAAAGCGCCCGUAGGCGGCCUGACAAGUUGGACGUGAAAGCUCCUGGCUUAACUGGGAGAGGCCGUUCAAAACUGUCAAGCUAGAGUCUGGAAGAGGAGAGCGGAAUUCCCGGUGUAGUGGUGGAAUGCGUAGAGAUCGGGAGGAACACCAGUGGCGAAAGCGGCUCUCUGGUCCAAAACUGACGCUGAGACGCGAAAGCGUGGGGAGCGAACAGG
rnacentral:rRNA from 1 species